CUAGGAAUUUUGCGCAAUGGGCGAAAGCCUGACGCAGCAACGCCGCGUGGAGGAAGAAGGCCCUCGGGUCGUAAACUCCUUUUCUGAGGGAAGAAGCUCUGACGGUACCUCAGGAAUAAGCCACGGCUAACUACGUGCCAGCAGCCGCGGUAAUACGUAGGUGGCAAGCGUUGUCCGGAUUUAUUGGGCGUAAAGCGCACGCAGGCGGUCCGUUAAGUCUGGGGUAAAAUCUCCCGGCUCAACUGGGAGAGGUCUUCGGAUACUGGCGGACUUGAGUGCAUCAGAGGAGAGCGGAAUUCCGGGUGUAGUGGUGAAAUGCGUAGAUAUCCGGAGGAACACCAGUGGCGAAGGCGGCUCUCUGGGGUGCAACUGACGCUGAGGUGCGAAAGCGUGGGGAGCGAACCGGAUUAGAUACCCGGGUAGUCCACGCCGUAAGCGAUGGACACUAGGUGUGGGGGGUAUCGGACCCCCUCUGUGCCGUAGCUAACGCAUUAAGUGUCCCGCCU
rnacentral:rRNA from 1 species